rnacentral:rRNA from 1 species
GAUGAACGCUGGCGGCGUGCCUAAUACAUGCAAGUCGAGCGAACGGACGAGAAGCUUGCUUCUCUGAUGUUAGCGGCGGACGGGUGAGUAACACGUGGAUAACCUACCUAUAAGACUGGGAUAACUUCGGGAAACCGGAGCUAAUACCGGAUAAUAUUUUGAACCGCAUGGUUCAAAAGUGAAAGAAGGUCUUGCUGUCACUUAUAGAUGGAUCCGCGCUGCAUUAGCUAGUUGGUAAGGUAACGGCUUACCAAGGCAACGAUGCAUAGCCGACCUGAGAGGGUGAUCGGCCACACUGGAACUGAGACACGGUCCAGACUCCUACGGGAGGCAGCAGUAGGGAAUCUUCCGCAAUGGGCGAAAGCCUGACGGAGCAACGCCGCGUGAGUGAUGAAGGUCUUCGGAUCGUAAAACUCUGUUAUUAGGGAAGAACAUAUGUGUAAGUAACUGUGCACAUCUUGACGGUACCUAAUCAGAAAGCCACGGCUAACUACGU